rnacentral:rRNA from 1 species
GAUGGACGCUGGCGGCGUGCCUAAUACAUGCAAGUCGAGCGAACGGACGAGAAGCUUGCUUUUCUGAUGUUAGCGGCGGACGGGUGAGUAACACGUGGAUAACCUACCUAUAAGACCGGGAUAACUUCGGGAAACCGGAGCUAAUACCGGAUAAUAUUUUGAACCGCAUGGUUCAAAAGUGAAAGACGGUCUUGCUGUCACUUAUAGAUGGAUCCGCGCUGCAUUAGCUAGUUGGUAAGGUAACGGCUUACCAAGGCAACGAUGCAUAGCCGACCUGAGAGGGUGAUCGGCCACACUGGAACUGAGACACGGUCCAGACUCCUACGGGAGGCAGCAGUAGGGAAUCUUCCGCAAUGGGCGAAAGCCUGACGGAGCAACGCCGCGUGAGUGAUGAAGGUCUUCGGAUCGUAAAACUCUGUUAUUAGGGAAGAACAUAUGUGUAAGUAACUGUGCACAUCUUGACGGUACCUAAUCAGAAAGCCACGGCUAACUACGUG